rnacentral:lncRNA from 1 species
AUCUGUAGUGUGCUACCUCUUUAAUGGGAAAUCUUAGAGGCUAUCAGUAUUGAAUGGUGACCAGAGGAAAAUACUGCUCUACAUAUAGGUCUGGGCUGUCAUACAAACUGAUCUGCUACUGGGGCCUCAUGACCUAGCAGAUCCAAAAGUAUUCAACAUGUUUGUGGCAGAUGCAAAUGCUGUUUAGAACCUUCGAGAGGUCGCUGUAGAAGCACAAUGCAAAACUUCAGGAUUUUGGAGCAAAACUUUGUCAUCUUUUGCACACACAGUGUUCUCUUUUGAUAGCUCCUGGUGUGCUACUGGACCCUAGUAGAGAUAGAAUGUCUGACUCUGAGCCACUAAGUAACCAUUCAACCUCUUCUGCCCUUCAAGACCUGGGAAAUGUCUGAAAAAACAAGUAAUGAAACGUGUGUAUAGCAGCACUCCAUUACAAGUUGUAGUUUUAUAUACGAGAUUGGUCUCAAGCAAGACCUAAAGGUAAAAGUAAGAGGCUCAGAUUUGCAUGGCUCCUCCUCUUGCUGCAUUAACUGCUGUCUCUCAACGCAAGCAUACUGUAACAUAUUGAUGGAGGAGGAAAAUGCUGAGUCUCGUUUACAGAUAAUUCUAUGUAACAUGCUGGCAUCACCUAAAGUGGAGAACUGCGAGAUUACUGCCCCAUCCAAGAAAACCCUUCAGCAGCCCCAUUCUUCAGGAACCGUGAAGGACUAUGGCAAAGAACUAUCUGAUGAUGAAACGACCCAGACUCAAUUUUCCCAACUUCAGAGCCUUUUCUAUCCAUGAUCCCUCAUUCCUGCCUUUCUUGCCAUUCCUGUCCUG